UUUCCUCCAAUCAAUGUCACGUAGGCGUUAUACUCAGGGUUCGAAAAAUCAAAGAAAAUGUAUUUUUUCCUCCAUCUGUAAGACACAAUCAACUUCUUUUGGGAAAUUUCUUAGAAACAUGUGCGAAACAUUUUCUUCGACCCGAAAUACUUUCAGGAACUCCCAGAAGCAGGUUCUAUCAAAUCAUGUAAUUUCCCAAAAGAAGAAAUUUUCCUCCAUUUUUCAAAGAAAAUGUAUUUUUCACUCCGAUUUUGGUUGUUAGGGUUCGUAAUCCUUAGUGUCAGACACUUCCAUUAACUCUUACCACUCGGCUUCAGCUGUUUCUACCAUUAGUCCUCACAUUUAUCAUUCCUGAGAUGUGUUCUCUUUCGGUAAUCAAUCUCAAAUCAAAUUUUUGAUAGUUGUUUCUACUCUUAUUUUGGUUGAUUCAGGUUUUGGGUUCGUCCAGGUUACAAGAGUUUGAUUAAAGGUUUUAGUUCUCCCAUAACAGUUAAGUUUAUCUAUUUACUGCAGUAUGUAAUUUGUUCUUCGCAUUAAUUUUUAAUAUUCUAUGGUAGAAUACUGAAGAAUGUUUAUUUUUCAUGUACCAAAUACUAAAAUUGAUCAGCUACUUCCGAGUUGGGAGUCUAUAGAUAUCUCGAACUCAAAUUAAAAUUUCCGCGUUAAGAUCUUGACCUAUUGAAUGGUUCAUUUAUCCAUAGUUUGUUGUUUGGGUUCCAAUUCAAAUGUUGUUAUUUGUUUUUUACAAUGAAAGCCAGCUGCUUGGUAGGACAUCGAUGUGAGAUUCUUGGAGGCUGUUAAGGUACCUAAUCUGCAUUGUAAAUUUUAGUUGUCUAAUCUACAUGGACAAGACCUCUUCCGUUCUGUUUGAGAAGUAGUAUUGGUCGUAGUUUGUUUCCUAGGAGAUGGAGUCUGCACUAGCAGCAGUAGGAGUGAGGAUGGCUGUAAGACACAAUCAACUUCUUUUGGGAAAUUUCUUAGAAACAUGUGCGAAACGUUUUCUUCGACCCGAAAUACUUUCAGGAACUCCCAGAAGCAGGUUCUAUCAUCUCUGUGUUUUAUUUUAGUUUGGAUACGCGCUCCUAAUCCUGAAUCCCAUAUUGUUGUUAUUGGAGAGAAUGAAAAGCUUUAGGGUGUUAAUAGAUAUGCUAUGAAUAAGACAAUUCCUGUUGGUUUUCAAGAAUUUGAAAAUUUGCAUAUGAAAAUUAAGAUUUGUAUACGCACUCCUAACUUGGAAGUCUGGUGAUUUAUUUGUUGCAACUCGCAAAGAAGGUGUUUGGUACAAUAUGUAAAAAAGUAUCGUUGCUUUGAAUUCAGUGAUAUCUGGCUAAGGGAAGCAUUUUGGUCAUUGUAAAUCUGUUCGCAACCCUUCUUCAAUUAUAUAAUGUGCAUAUCAAAUUAACUCCACUUGGAGAGGCAGAGCUAUGUCUUCACAUUUUCACGAUAGAAUACGUCUUACAAGUGCGUGUAAAUCACAAUGUUUCACAUAUUACUACCGGAUUAUGAGUUGUUUUGACUUACCUUUUAAAGUUCAGUGCAAUGAUGAAUGAGCAUUCUAUAGUUAGUCGUGAAAUUAGAGCAGUAGACUACUUAUGUUUAUAGUUGAGCAGCUGGGGAUGAUUGUACUGUUGAACAACAAAUCCUUGAAGUAACCAUGAAUAACGACUUGCUUUAAAAAAUUGAGUUUGAUGUCAGUCAAAUCUGCUCUUGGUAAUGCAAGAACAGUAGGAACGACAACUCGACAUGUUUCUUUGUGAAAAUUUUUGGUGUUUGCAUCUUACUUGAUUCUAAUUCAUCUAUUUUUGUUCGUAUGUGUGUCUACAGGGAGGCCUUUCUCAUGAUGUUUUUUUGUUGUAUGCAGUCAUUUUGGCAAGUUUGUUGGGAUCCACUGUGAUGGGAGUGGUAGGAUAUCAACAUUGCUCGAAAUUUCAUUCAAGAUUCGUAGCUGUUAUCUUUCUUAGAUGAUGAGGUCGGACAGAAAAUACAUGUCUUUCCAUGACCCAAAUAUCAAAGUAGAUAAUAUUAGCUAGCCAUGAUUUCACUAUUUGCAAGUAACAACCAUCAGUGGCAUGUAAAAAAUCUGAAAAUCUAAAACUACUCUCUGUGUUUCUUUGGUUACAACGCACAAGAAAGACUUGCCACAAUAAACAAAACUACAACAUCACAUGGAAGUCAGGGACUCUGGUGCAGCAGAAGCUACAACAAGCAAAGGCAUCUAAAAAUUGGACUCUUGAUGCCUCUUUCUACUGGGCAUUCAAAAGAAAUUUGUAACAAUGAUACACCUUUGAAUUCCGACAGUGGUAUACAACAAUACAUGACAAGUAGCAUGUCCGACGAUUGUGAUAAGUAACCCGCAAUCUAAAGGAGUUAUAGCUGCUUUUGGUUAUAGACUUUGUAAACCAUAUCAUAUAUUUAUGACAACAAUCCUUAAUCCAUCGCUACAUGUAUUAUGUGCAAUUAUGUCGCGGAUCUACUUUAGUAAGUAAUUUGUGGUUUAACCAGUUUGUAUAUUCAACUAAAAUCCACUUUCCAGUCAUGAAUCAUGAUUAAC